rnacentral:rRNA from 1 species
GCUUGUCUCAAAGAUUAAGCCAUGCAUGUCUAAGUAUAAAUGUUAUACAGUGAAACUGCGAAUGGCUCAUUAAAUCAGUUAUAAUUUAUUUGAUAAUACCUUACUACUUGGAUAACCGUGGUAAUUCUAGAGCUAAUACAUGCGAAAAAUCUCGACUCACGGAGAGAUGCUUUUAUUAGAUCAAAACCAAACGGCUUCGGCCGUCUCAUUGGUGACUCUGAAUAACUUUGGGCUGAUCGUAUGGCCUUGUGCCGACGACGUUUCCUUCGAAGGUGUGCCCUAUCAACUGUCGACUGUGAUAUAGACGCUCACAG